UACGGAGGGGGCUAGCGUUGUUCGGAAUUACUGGGCGUAAAGCGCGCGUAGGCGGACCUGCAAGUCGGGGGUGAAAGCCCGAGGCUCAACCUCGGAACUGCCUUCGAUACUGGCGACCUUGAGUCCGGGAGAGGUGAGUGGAACUCCGAGUGUAGAGGUGAAAUUCGUAGAUAUUCGGAAGAACACCAGUGGCGAAGGCGGCUCACUGGCCCGGUACUGACGCUGAGGUGCGAAAGCGUGGGGAGCAAACAGG
rnacentral:rRNA from 1 species